GCGGGGAAUAGCCCAGAGAAAUUUGGAUUAAUACCCCAUAAUAUAUUUGGUAAAGGCAUCUUAUUAAUAUUAAAAGCUUCGGCACUUGAUGAUGGGUGUGCGGCUGAUUAGAUAGUUGGCGGGUAACGGCCCACCAAGUCUACGAUCAGUAGCUGAUGUGAGAGCAUGAUCAGCCACACGGGCACUGAGACACGGGCCCGACUCCUACGGGAGGCAGCAGUAAGGAAUAUUGGACAAUGGACGAAAGUCUGAUCCAGCCAUGCCCGCGUGAAGGAUUAAGGUCCUCUGGAUUGUAAACUUCUUUUAUAUGGGAACGAAAAAAGGGCAUUCUUGUUCACUUGACGGUACCAUAUGAAUAAGCACCGGGCUAAACUCCGUG
rnacentral:rRNA from 1 species